rnacentral:rRNA from 1 species
UACGUAGGUGGCGAGCGUUGUCCGGAAUUACUGGGCGUAAAGGAUGCGUAGGCGGAUAUUUAAGUCAGAUGUGAAAUACCCGGGCUUAACUUGGGUGCUGCAUUUGAAACUGGAUAUCUAGAGUGCGGGAGAGGAAAGUGGAAUUCCUAGUGUAGCGGUGAAAUGCGUAGAGAUUAGGAAGAACACCAGUGGCGAAGGCGACUUUCUGGACCGUAACUGACGCUGAGGCAUGAAAGCGUGGGUAGCAAACAGG